UAACGAAUCUUCCGCAAUGCGCGAAAGCGUGACGGAGCAAUGCCGCGUGCAGGAUGAAGCCCUUCGGGGUGUAAACUGCUGUCAGGGUUCAGCAACACAAUGAGCAGACCCAAAGGAAGGGCCGGCUAACUUCGUGCCAGCAGCCGCGGUAAUACGAAGGGCCCGAGCGUUGCGCGGAAUCAUUGGGCUUAAAGCGUGCGUAGGCGGGCGCGCAAGCACCUUGUGAAAUCCCUCGGCUCAACCGAGGAAUUGCUUGGUGAACUGCGCGUCUUGAGGCGAGUAGGGGCUGUCGGAACGAUAGGUGGAGCGGUGAAAUGCGUUGAUAUCUAUCGGAACGCCGAAGGCGAAGGCAGGCAGCUGGGCUCGAUCUGACGCUGAGGCACGAAAGCGUGGGGAGCGAACGGGAUUAGAUACCCCCGUAGUCC
rnacentral:rRNA from 1 species